rnacentral:rRNA from 1 species
GAUCCUGGCUCAGGACGAACGCUGGCGGCGUGCCUAAUACAUGCAAGUAGAACGCACAGUUUAUACCGUAGCUUGCUACACCAUAGACUGUGAGUUGCGAACGGGUGAGUAACGCGUAGGUAACCUGCCUGGUAGCGGGGGAUAACUAUUGGAAACGAUAGCUAAUACCGCAUAAUAUUAAUUAUUGCAUGAUAAUUGAUUGAAAGAUGCAACUGCAUCACU